GAUGAACGCUGGCGGCGUGCCUAAUACAUGCAAGUCGAGCGAACAGAUGAGGAGCUUGCUCCUCUGACGUUAGCGGCGGAUGGGUGAGUAACACGUGGAUAACCUACCUAUAAGACUGGGAUAACUUCGGGAAACCGGAGCCAAUACCGGAUAAUAUAUUGAACCGCAUGGUUCAAUAGUGAAAGACGGUUUUGCUGCUACUUAUAGAUGGAUCCGCGCCGCAUUAGCUAGUUGGUAAGGUAACGGCUUACCAAGGCAACGAUGCGUAGCCGACCUGAGAGGGUGAUCGGCCACACUGGAACUGAGACACGGUCCCGACUCCUACGGGAGGCAGAAGUAGGGGAGCUUCCGCAAUGGGCGAAAGCCGGACGGAGCAACGGCGCGUGAGUGAUGAAGGUCUUCGGAUCGUAAAACUCUGUUAUUAGGGAAGAACAAAUGUGUAAGUAACUAUGCACGUCUUGACGGUACCUAAUCAGAAAGCCACGGCUAACUACGUG
rnacentral:rRNA from 1 species